rnacentral:rRNA from 1 species
CCCUUAGAUGUUCUGGGCCGCACGCGCGCUACACUGACGAUGGCAACGAGUUUUUCCUUCGCCGAAAGGUGUGGGUAAUCUUUUGAAACAUCGUCGUGCUGGGGAUGGAUCAUUGCAAUUUUUGAUCUUGAACGAGGAAUUCCUAGUAAGCGCGAGUCAUCAGCUCGCGUUGAUUACGUCCCUGCCCUUUGUACACACCGCCCGUCGCUACUACCGAUUGAAUGGUUUAGUGAGGACUCCUGAUUGGCGCCGCCGCCCCGGCAACGGAGCAGCGGACUGCCGAAAAGUUGUUCAAACUUGAUCAUUUAGAGGAAGUAAAAGUCGUAACA